AGAGAGACACAGCCAGAGAAGGAACACAGGCAGGAGGAGUGAGAGGGAAAAGCAGGCCUCCUGCAGAGCAGGGAGCCAGAUGCGGGACUCGAUCCCAGGACCUUGGGAUCAUGACCCAGGCCAGGGACAGUUGCUUAACGACUGAGCCACCCAGGUGUGCCUCAUCAUGGGACUUCAGAGAGAAGGAUGCCUCGACCAGUGGUUUCCAGACGGCUAAGUGUACGUUUUGUGUUUGUGCAAAUGUGUACUCCUGUGUGAACACCAUUCCGGUAAAGAUACAACGGAUUUCCAGCACCCCAGAACUUUCCAGUGUCUUUCUGGUCUGUGCCCCUCCUAAAGACAACCACCGUUGAGGAAACCUUAUCCUCGCCUUCCAGGAGCCAGAUCACCAGAUGAGGGCUCCCCGGAAACAGCUGCACCCAGACACUGAGCCUGUGGGCUUCCCUCCUUCCUCCUGUUGGUCCAUCCUAAGCUGGUCCCGGGGGGAGGGGAGGGGGGUGCAGGGCUCUGCCUCCCACCCCCACUGCCUUCUUGGGGCCUAAGGGUUCACCGAGACCCUUACCGCUCCUUCAACUUGCUCCUUCUCAACCACGUCUCCUUCGCUUUAAAAGAAGUCCUCUGGGGGCACCUGGGUGGCUCAGUGGGUUGAGCCUCUGCCUUCGGCUCAGGUCAUGAUCCCAGAGACCAGGGAUCGAGCCCCGCAUCGGGCUCUCUGCUCAGCAGGGAGCCUGCUUCCNNN
rnacentral:lncRNA from 1 species